CCGAUAGCGAAGGCAGCUCACAAGAUUACAACUGACACUGAGGCACGAAAGCGUGGGUAUCAAACAGGAUUAGAUACCCUGGUAGUCCACGCUGUAAACGAUGAUCACUAGCUGUUUGCGAUACAUUGUAAGUGGUUAAGCGAAAGCGAUAAGUGAUCCACCUGGUGAGUACGUCGGCAACGAUGAAACUCAAAGGAAUUGACGGGGGCCCGCACAAGCGGAGGAGCAUGUGGUUUAAUUCGAUGAUACGCGAGGAACCUUACCUGGGCUUGAACGUAUGGUGCAUGAGUGUGAAAGCACUCUUUCCUUCACAGGACUUCAUACGAGGUGCUGCAUGGUUGUCGUCAGCUCGUGCCGUGAGGUGUUAGGUUAAGUCCUGCAACGAGCGCAACCCCUGUUUUUAGUUGCCAUCAGGUUAUGCUGGGCACUCUAGAAAGACUGCCUGCGCAAGCAGAGAGGAAGGUGGGGAUGACGUCAAAUCAGCACGGCCCUUACGUCCAGGGCUACACACGUGCUACAAUGGUCGGCACAGAGGGUUGCUACCCGGCAACGGGAUGCUAAUCUCCAAAGUCGAUCUUAGUUCGGAUCGAAGUCUGCAACUCGACUUCGUGAAGUUGGAUUCGCUAGUAAUCGUAUAUCAGCCAUGAUACGGUGAUACGUUCCCGGGCAUUGUACACACCGCCCGUCAAGCCAUGGAAGUUGGGGGUACCUGAAGUCGAUUACCGAAAGGGAUUGCCUAG
rnacentral:rRNA from 1 species